CAACUGUGAAUGGUCCCGGUGCACCAAGAAAAAGUGUCAAGAGACGCCAGUGUAGGAUUUGGCUUCACUCCUGUCACAUCACGUCAAGAUAAAUAUUUAAUUGACAGAAACAACUUGAAUUGUUGCAUCUCAUUGUGUUGUUGUCUAGCUAAAAUUCGCCCUUUCCUAAAUUAGCCAUAAUUCUCCGUACUAGCCAAUGAUUACAACGGCGAUUCUGAUCCAACCAUAAAUUCAUACAUUAUGCCCCUGGACUGACAGGAUGGAAGUUCAGUAUGUAGCUAGAUGUAGAAGGCUAAUGUUAUCUAGCUAAUGUUACCCAUGAAAGCAAGUCUGGUUAGCAAGCAAGCAUUUUAGCCAGGUAGCUUAGGACAACCAUAACUAAAAGCGUGUACUGUAUGACAUGGUCAUAGACUGUUUCGUCAACAUGAAAGAGAAGGAUGGCGUUGGCGUAGGUCUGACAGUAACCCAGCUGUCUGAAGCAGAGGAUCACUCUUUCAGCUGCUGCAUGAAGCAGCCAGGCAAAAAGACAGAGUUGGUAUCGACAUUGACGUGGGCCAUCACUCAAACAAAGAUGCCUUCGUGCUCACCAGUGCAUAUUUCCAAACUAUAAUGACAAUAAAAUCUCAAAACUAUGCCGCUA
rnacentral:lncRNA from 1 species